UGGGGAAUAUUGGACAAUGGGCGAAAGCCUGAUCCAGCCAUGCCGCGUGUGUGAAGAAGGCCUUUUGGUUGUAAAGCACUUUAAGUGGGGAGGAAAAGCUUAUGGUUAAUACCCAUAAGCCCUGACGUUACCCACAGAAUAAGCACCGGCUAACUCUGUGCCAGCAGCCGCGGUAAUACAGAGGGUGCAAGCGUUAAUCGGAAUUACUGGGCGUAAAGCGCGCGUAGGUGGUUAUUUAAGUCAGAUGUGAAAGCCCCGGGCUUAACCUGGGAACUGCAUCUGAUACUGGAUAACUAGAGUAGGUGAGAGGGGAGUAGAAUUCCAGGUGUAGCGGUGAAAUGCGUAGAGAUCUGGAGGAAUACCGAUGGCGAAGGCAGCUCCCUGGCAUCAUACUGACACUGAGGUGCGAAAGCGUGGGUAGCAACCAGGAUUAGAUACCCUGGUAGUCCACGCCGUAAACGAUGUCUACCAGUCGUUGGGUCUUUUAAAGACUUAGUGACGCAGUUAACGCAAUAAGUAGACCGCCUGGGGAGUACGGCCGCAAGGUUA
rnacentral:rRNA from 1 species